AUCACACUAGCCCAGCUGGUCAGUGCACCUUGGUUGUACCCGGGAGAUCCUGGGUUCGAGUCCCAUGUUUCCCA
rnacentral:tRNA from 1 species